AUUGAACGCUGGCGGCAUGCCUUACACAUGCAAGUCGAACGGCAGCACGGGAGCUUGCUCCUGGUGGCGAGUGGCGAACGGGUGAGUAAUACAUCGGAACGUACCCAGGAGUGGGGGAUAACGUAGCGAAAGUUACGCUAAUACCGCAUAUUCUGUGAGCAGGAAAGCGGGGGAUCGCAAGACCUCGCGCUCUUGGAGCGGCCGAUGUCGGAUUAGCUAGUUGGUGAGGUAAAAGCGCACCAAGGCGACGAUCCGUAGCAGGUCUGAGAGGAUGAGCUGCCACACGGGGACCGAGACACGGCCGAGACUCCUACGGGAGGCAGGCGUGGGGAAUUCUGGACAUGGGGGGCAACGCUGAUCCAGCCAUGCCGCGUGAGUGAAGAAGGCCUUCGGGUUGUAAAGCUCUUUCGGCGGGGAAGAAAUGGCAACGGCUAAUAUCCGUUGUUGAUGACGGUACCCGCAUAAGAAGCACCGGCUAACUACGUGCCAGCCGCCGCAGUAA
rnacentral:rRNA from 1 species